rnacentral:rRNA from 1 species
AUUGAACGCUGGCGGCAGGCUUAACACAUGCAAGUCGAGCGGAGUGAUGGUGCUUGCACUAUCACUUAGCGGCGGACGGGUGAGUAAUGCUUAGGAAUCUGCCUAUUAGUGGGGGACAACAUCUCGAAAGGGAUGCUAAUACCGCAUACGUCCUACGGGAGAAAGCAGGGGAUCACUUGUGACCUUGCGCUAAUAGAAGAGCCUAAGUCGGAUUAGCUAGUUGGUGGGGUAAAGGCCGACCAAGGCGACGAUCUGUAGCGGGUCUGAGAGGAUGAUCCGCCACACUGGGACUGAGACACGGCCCAGACUCCUACGGGAGGCAGCAGUGGGGAAUAUUGGACAAUGGGGGGAACCCUGAUCCAGCCAUGCCGCGUGUGUGAAGAAGGCCUUAUGGUUGUAAAGCACUUUAAGCGAGGAGGAGGCUCUUUUGGUUAAUACCCAAGAUGAGUGGACGUUACUCGCAGAAUAAGCACCGGCUAACUCUGUGCCAGCAGCCGCGGUAA